rnacentral:rRNA from 1 species
GAUGAACGCUGGCGGCGUGCCUAAUACAUGCAAGUCGAGCGAAUGGAUUAAGAGCUUGCUCUUAUGAAGUUAGCGGCGGACGGGUGAGUAACACGUGGGUAACCUGCCCAUAAGACUGGGAUAACUCCGGGAAACCGGGGCUGAUACCGGAUAACAUUUUGAACCGCAUGGUUCGAAAUUGAAAGGCGGCUUCGGCUGUCACUUAUGGAUGGACCCGCGUCGCAUUAGCUAGUUGGUGAGGUAACGGCUCACCAAGGCAACGAUGCGUAGCCGAACUGAGAGGGUGAUCGGCCAAACUGGGACUGAGACACGGCCCAGACUCCUACGGGAGGCAGCAGUAGGGAAUCUUCCGCAAUGGACGAAAGUCUGACGGAGCAACGCCGCGUGAGUGAUGAAGGCUUUCGGGUCGUAAAACUCUGUUGUUAGGGAAGAACAAGUGCUAGUUGAAUAAGCUGGCACCUUGACGGUACCUAACCAGAAAGCCACGGCUAACUACGUGCCAGCCGCCGCAGUAA